CUCCAUGGCGGUCGUGCGCGGGCAGGCUUCGGUCUGGCCGGGGUUACCGUAUGUCCCGGGUCUCACCCCGUGCACGACUGCCACCCAA
rnacentral:antisense_RNA from 17 species